CGUAGCCCUGGGCGCAGGGAGAAGAAGCCCAGGACGCUUCGGGUGGUGCACGGUUUCCCGAGCCCCGGGCCGCUGGGCACCUGUUUGGUACUUUGACCCUGAGAAAGCUAUCUCCAGGGGGUGAACAUUUGUUUACAAGAGUCAUCAUUUAAUAAGGAGAAGAAGGAGGCGAGACAGGCCGCGUCAAGGUGCGCCAUGCUCACAACCGAGAUCAGCGUUACGUGUAGUAAGGCCACUGGAGAAUGAUGUGGACAGAAGUAAGGACCAGUACCCUGGUCCUGGAGGAGCCUCACAUCAGUAAUCAUGCCAAGUCCUCUGCCAACGAGCCUCCCAUCUCUCCUCAGUGUCCUUGUUCCCUGUGAGAGGAAGAGCAGUGGAGUCUAGAGUUUGGGGAAACUAAGCACAGGCACUGGAGCUGAGAAAGAUGUUUCAAAGCCUUCCAGAAGUGCUGUCUGUGUGUAC